UGAGCAGGCUAGUGCAGCAGUAUCCACCUGCAGCCUGGCUGGUACCCCUCUGUUGGUGGCUGCGCCCCCAUUCCCAGGUUCCCCAUUCUUCAGCAAGCUGCCCAGGCAUGUCCUCAGGCAGAGAAAAGCAACUGUGGGGAGCGGAUCCAAAGCACGAUCCCUCGGCACGUGACUGAUAGCCAAGCUUCACGGCGGCAUCUUAUAGGAGUCUUGUCCUAAGCGUUUAAAACCCCGAUGCAGAGUUUAUGUUUAUAGCAGAUGUCAAUUGGGAAGCUGAAUUUUCAUUGCAAAUAUUUGCUCUGCAUUUAGAUUUGAUAAAAGGAACUGCUGA